GGACCCGCACAAGCGGUGGAGCAUGUGGUUUAAUUCGAUGCAACGCGAAGAACCUUACCUGGUCUUGACAUCCUGCGAACUUUCUAGAAAUAGAUUGGUGCCUUCGGGAACGCAGUGACAGGUGCUGCAUGGCUGUCGUCAGCUCGUGUCGUGAGAUGUUGGGUUAAGUCCCGUAACGAGCGCAACCCCUAUCCUUAUUUGCCAGCACAUCAUGGUGGGAACUAUAAGGAGACUGCCGGUGAUAAACCGGAGGAAGGCGGGACGACGUCAAGUCAUCAUGGCCCUUACGACCAGGGCUACACACGUGCUACAAUGGGAAGGACAAAGAGCCGCGAAGCCGCGAGGUGUAGCUAAUCUCAUAAACUUAGCCCAAGUUCAGAUUGUAGGCUGCAACUCGCCUACAUG
rnacentral:rRNA from 1 species